AAGCGCUGAAAGCAUCUAAGUGCGAAGCCCCCCACAAGAAAAGAUCUCCUUCAUGGAAAUGAUAAGACCCGUGGAAGACUACCACGUAGAUAGGCCUCAGGUGAAAGUGCAGCAAUGUAUGAAGCUGAGAGGUACUAAUCGGUCGAACGCUUGACCAA
rnacentral:rRNA from 1 species